AGUCCUCCAGAGAACUCCAAAACAAACAGCUCUCCUGAAGCCCCUCUCUUUACUGAUGCUCUCUGAGAUGGUCAACAAACCAGGCAUGAAGGGCACCAGGGAUGGAUGAUCCUUAUCCUUUGGGAACAACAGAGCUCUCAACAGCAAGGCAAAGCUCCAGGGAUGGAUUUCUGCUCCCCCUUGGUUCAGGAUGCUGGCCAUUGGGGAUACAGGUGUGGGAAAGGUGUGGAUAGAAACAAACCAGCAGCAGAGCAGGCCUGUGAAUUUGCCGAAGCUGUAAUCUGAGAUCUGUGCAUGAUGUGCCAAAUCAGCUUUUGGACUCCAAGACCAAAUUGUGACUGGUUGGGGUUUACCAGGGUGGAAAACAGAGGGAAAUGUCUGCUGGUUUGAGCAUUGAUGUUCCAGGUGUGAUUUUACAUCUAAGGAAAAUACUCUCACUUCAAAAACGUACAAAGCCCCCACCCCAUGCAAUAGGGACAAACUGUUUUCAUCACUUGCCUUUAUCAAAGCAACUUGAGUUGGUUCCACACUGCUGUGAAAUCAGCAGCAUCUUCUGCUUUUAUAAAACAGAACAAAUUUGUUUCAUGCUAAAAUAGAACCUGGUGUUUCUACUCGGAACAAAGAUGACGUGCUUUUCACUUUUUAUGAGACAUUUUGGAAAGAAGGCCCACCUUUGAUUUUAUCUACAUUUUUCACUUUGUUUUUGUUUUGUUUGCCAAGCAAGAUCAAAAACCCACACAGUGGAAAUCUAUUUUCAGUAAAAAAACCCACUGCUCAUUAUUCCAUCACAGUGCCCAGGUGAAAAUGAAAAUAAAACUUUAAAUAAGUGUACUUGAAGGCUACUAGGCAAUAUUGUCACAGGAUCAUGGAAUGUGAAGGGGUUGGGAGGGACCAUAAGGACCAUCUAGUCCCAACCCUGCUGCCAGGAACAGGGACAUCUUCCACCAGACCAGGCUGCUCAAGGCUUGUCCAAAGUGUCCCUGGACACUGCCAGGGAUGGGAGUCCAUGACUUCUGUGGGCAACCCAUUCCAGUGUCUCACCACACUUACAAAAAGAAUUUCUUCCUAAUAUCUGACCUAAAUUUCCCCUCUUUCCAUUUGUAUCCAUUACUCCUUGUCCCAUAACUACAGUUCUUGGCGAAGAGCAUAAUAAAAAAUACUUUUAAA